UGGGUAACCUGCCUCAAAGAGGGGAAUAGCCUCCCGAAAGGGAGAUUAAUACCGCAUAAUAUGUUUAAGUCGCAUGACUUUAACAUCAAAGGAUUUUCUUUAGAAAUUCCACUUUGAGAUGGACCCGCGGCGCAUUAGCUAGUUGGUGAGGUAACGGCUCACCAAGGCAACGAUGCGUAGCCGACCUGAGAGGAUGGCCAGCCACAGUUGGGACUGAGAUACCGGCCCAGACCUNUACGGGAG
rnacentral:rRNA from 1 species